rnacentral:rRNA from 1 species
CUACGGGAGGCACCAGUCGAGAAUCUUUUGCAAUGCCCGCAAGGGUGACAAUGCGACGCCGCGUGAGCGAUGAAGGCCUUCGGGUUGUAAAGCUCUGUCAGCAGGGAUGAAUACAAGGUCGUUAAUACCGGCCUUGGGUGACGGUACCUGCAGAGGAAGCCUCGGCUAACUCCGUGCCAGCAGCCGCGGUAAUACGGAGGAGGCAAGCGUUGUUCGGAUUCACUGGGUGUAAAGGACAUGUAGGUGUCCCGUUAAGUCGGGUGUGAAAUCCCUUGGCUCAACCAAGGAAUUGCAUUCGAUACUGGCGGGAUUGAGUACUGAAGAGGUAAGCGGAAUUCCGGAAGUAAGGGUGAAAUCUGUAGAUAUCCGGAAGAACACCAUUAGCGAAGGCGGCUUACUGGUCAGAUACUGACGCUGAAAUGUGAAAGCUAGGGGAGCAAACAGGAUUAGAUACCCGAGUAGUC